AUUGAACGCUGGCGGCAGGCCUAACACAUGCAAGUCGAGCGGAGCGGCGGACGGGUGAGUAAUGCAUAUGAGUCUGCCUGGUCGUGGGGGAGGACGUCCUGCAACGGACGCUAAUACCGCAUGCUAUCAGAUGAGCCUAGGGAGGAUUAGCUAGUGGGUGGGGUAAAGGCAUACCAAGGCGACGAUCCGUAACUGGUCUGAGAGGAUGAUCAGUCACACUGGAACUGAGACACGGUCCAGACUCCUACGGGAGGCAGCAGUGGGGAAUAUUGGACAAUGGGCGAAAGCCUGAUCCAGCCAUGCCGCGUGUGUGAAGAAGGUCUUCGGAUUGUAAAGCACUUUAAGUUGGGAGGCGUUACCAACAGAAUAAGCACCGGCUAACUUCGUGCCAGCAGCCGCGGUAAUAC
rnacentral:rRNA from 1 species